GACGAACGCUGGCGGCGUGCUUAACACAUGCAAGUCGAACGGAAAGGCCCUGCUUUUGUGGGGUGCUCGAGUGGCGAACGGGUGAGUAACACGUGAGUAACCUGCCCUUGACUUUGGGAUAACUUCAGGAAACUGGGGCUAAUACCGGAUAGGAGCUCCUGCUGCAUGGUGGGGGUUGGAAAGUUUCGGCGGUUGGGGAUGGACUCGCGGCUUAUCAGCUUGUUGGUGGGGUAGUGGCUUACCAAGGCUUUGACGGGUAGCCGGCCUGAGAGGGUGACCGGCCACAUUGGGACUGAGCUACGGCCCAGACUCCUACGGGAGGCAGCAGUGGGGAAUAGUGCACAAUGGGCGGAAGCCUGAUGCAGCAACGCCGCGUGCGGGAUGACGGCCUUCGGGUUGUAAACCGCUUUCGCCUGUGACGAAGCGUGAGUGGCGGUAAUGGGUAAAGAAGCACCGGCUAACUACGUG
rnacentral:rRNA from 1 species